rnacentral:lncRNA from 1 species
UAGAAGGGAGAUGCGUGAGGUCCACUGCCGGCGUAGCUCCGCAUGUACGUCGCCGUCGGACCUUCGCUGUGGCGUCAAACCUGUUCGUCGAAACAAAUAGCAACGAUAUCGGGUGGUGUAGCAUGUUGACCUCUUGCCGGAGUUCAUCGCCAACCUAUCCCUUACCGUGUGCAGAGGUCACGACUCUGUGUGCCCUAUGGGAAGCAUCCUCCGGCGCGUCAUCGCGGGUAAUACACUUAAAUCUUGUUUCGCCUUGAUCAUCGUCGCGCGUUGGACCGAUCGAUUCUUGAUUCGGUUCACGUGAGAACUAGGGCGCUGGCGAGAAUCUCGUCAGGCAUGGCGCCACCGCGGAGACUAUGCUCCGUUGGUCUAUGGCUGGGGAUGGAAGACGAAGUAUUAGACGUUGAUCAUCCAACACAUGGCCGGGAUUAGAUCUUGGUUACCGGUAUGACCUAGGGGAGCCAUGAUCCGUUGGAUCUGUUGAGAACGGAUAGGAUUAGACCAUGGUAUGAUGUUGCGCGUGACGUCGAUCUUGUUGUUUACGGCUAGGAUUAGUUGAUAUCAUACCCCUUCGCCGCAUUAAACCGGAGCCGCAGAUUCCCAGACGAGCGGUCCCGAUUUGUACGUGAAUACCUCUUCGCGUGAUCCGAUCUGGGCCCUUGUUUUCUGAUCGGACGACUUUAACUACCCGUACCCCUUUGGUCGUGGCUUUUUAGUAAAGAGACCCUCUGUUUCCGUAAAAUAAACCCGCAGUCCUAGCAGUGGAAUUCUGAGUCUUAGAACUUUUUGCGCAGUGAACCCUGCACUUCCCUGUUUUCAUGCGCCAGCCCAGAGAGCUCAUAAAUUGGAUAAAAGAUUAUGGAAAUGUAUUGUUAAUGUGAAAAUAAUCAUUUGAACUUGUAUAAUUCCUAGAAAAUUCAUAUUAGGUCCAAAUUGACCCAUUUCAGUUCCUAUAAUUUUAUAAUAUUAUUGUUUAUCACCUAGUGUCUCUGUUUUGACAUGAAAGCUAAAUUAAAAAUUUAUAUCCUAAUUAAUCUUGUAUCAAACACAUAAAAUCUUCGAAAAUUCAUAACUCCUCUGUUUUAACUUCGAAUUGAUCCGUUCAAGUUGCGUUAGUCUCGUAUAAAUAUUUACUAUGCCAUAACAACAUUUAUUAUACCAUGUCUUAUUAUUUUAUGAUUAGAUAUUUAUUUAACUUAUGUUGGUUAGUCUUGAUAAUGUGCUCAUCAUUAUCUACCAAAAUAUAAUCUAUGGUUAAUUUAUAACUUAGAUUAAAGUUGAGAUAAGUAUUUAUAGAAUAACUUCUUAUAUGAUUUGUAUUAACCAAUUUAUAAUAUAGUUUAACAUUUUAAUCACAUAAAUUCUCCAUAAAAUCAUAACUCCUUAACCGUAACUCCGAUUUUAGUGGUUCUUAUUUCCACGAUCUCGUAGCGACGCGUAGAUUAUUAUUAUUCAAUGUAUUACUAUGUUUGGUGUGAUGUUAAUUUUGCCUAUACCAUGUUUGUUUGUAUUGCUACGACUAGCGCGAGGUUACGAGUCACCGAAGAGCAAGUUGGUACCUGGAAUCUCAAGUCCCAGGCAAGUUGUGCCCUUGAUCACUUCUUUUUACCCACUCAUGUUCUAAUUAAUCAUAAUGAUCUGUAUAGGUUAAUUUUGAUGGGACCCAAUAGGUUACCCUAGUUUGAUUAUCUUCACACCUUGUUUACCACUGAACUUUUUGGGUAGUACUUGCUAGUGCUUUAUGUGGUUUUGGGUAUGAAGAUACAUUAUUCAUGAUUAUACUUUUGUUAUCCGUUGUUAUUUACUGUUCAUGAUAAGAUCAUUAUGUUAAUUGGAACAUGGAGCGACCACCCGGGAAAACAGUGCUACCACAAGGGUCUAUGGACGCCCUAGGCUGAUUAAUUAGGAAAGCUAGUGGAGAACUACCUUACCCGAAAGGGGCAAGGGCAGUAAGGGAGUGGUCAGUGUAGGGAGGUCCUUGGUUGAUUUUGCUGCGAUGGCGGUCAGGCAAGAACCCUGCAUUGGAGCUUCCUAUAAACUGUAGCGGGUUUUCUGAAGCUAGUGGAACUUUGUAAAGGCCUCGUAUUGUUACCCUGCCUCGCCUCCUCGGUAGAGGUGUAUGGGAAGUCGCGAUCCCUUGGUAGAUGGGUAACAUGACUUGUGGGUAAAGAUGCGCAACCUCUGCAGAGUGUAAAACUGGUAUACUAGCCGUGCUCACGGUCAUGAGCAGCUCAGACCCUCACAUGAUUAAUUUAUGGAACUAAAUUCAAUUUGUCAUAUGCAUUGCAUCGCAGGUGAUGUUAUUACUUUUCUUAAUUGGGUUGGUAUUUAUUUAUACUUAGUAAUUGCUAAUAAAAUUUUGACCAACUUUAAAAGCAAUGCUCAGCUCUAACCAUCCUCUUUGGUAAGCCUUACACUUCACAUGAGCUCCCAUCUUUGGCGAGUUCAUUCACAUUAUUCCCCACAACUUGUUGAGCGAUGAACGUAUGUGAGCUCACUCUUGCUGUCUCACACCCCCCACAGGUCAAGGACAGGUACCACAGGAUGAGGCGCUUGGAGGAUGCUGUGACGAGUUCGUGAGAGGUCUAGGCCGUCGU